rnacentral:tRNA from 2 species
GUACCUUUAGCUUAGUUAGAUAGAGUAUUUAGCUCAUAAUAGAAGGGGUGUAGGUUCGAGUCCUAGAGUAUACA